GGUGAAAUUGCUUUGCUGAACUUCUGCUCGCGGGUUUUUGCAGAGGGGGUGGUGGUGGGAGGAGAACCGGGGGCGUCUGAUGGGCCCGGAGCGGCGCGCCGAUCUCGCCUGAGCAACUUUUGGAGAACUUUUUUCCCAGCCCUCGUCGGUGGCAGGCUUCUGGCAGACAACUGAGACCGGAAGACACUGAGGCCGAUGGUGAGGCUGAUGCAGAAGAUGAUUCUGUCGAUGAAGUGACAACAGAAAACAUACGACCGAGACCACAAGGGUCCUCUCCAAUAUACGAGUACUGCAUAGAAGACGAAUAUUUUAAUAAAAAGG